AGACAGUGCCUUGCCUUGUCUUCCUAUCCAUUGCGCAUGUCCAAAGUUCACAAUGAAAAUGGCUGCUAUGGGUUUCAUCCCUGGCGACGGCGAGAGAAAACGAGCGGGAGAGGAUGCAGAGAGCUCAGAGAGGAGUGGCAAUGAAGAGGAAAAUGAGGACCUGUCAUGUGAAGAGGAGGAAGAAGGAAGUGCCGGGAAGGUCGAAGCCGGUUCGUUGAAGCUCCGCGUUGUCGUGAGCUCGGCCCAGACCAAGAAGAAGAAACACAAGCACCGCAGCAAACACAAGCGACAGAAGUACGUCUCCCCAGAGGUCAAGGAGCGGCGCCACGGGCACCGGCACAAGCACAAGAGGCACAAGCGUAAAGACAACCCCUCAACCGAUGUCUUCUCAAACUGUGGCGAUGACGACGCUUCCCUGUACUCCUCCUCUGCCAAGCACCCAAGACUGGAAGAUGAUGAGAUGGCACUUCUGGAGGAGCUGGAGAAACAGAGGGCCCUGAUCCAAGCCGAGCUAGACGGUGAACUGACUGAGGGGGGCAGGGGGGUACAAUUGGACAUGGGGCUCAUACUCCAGGGCUACCACUCUGAAGAGGAGGAGGAUGGGGAGCUUCAGGUGGAGAGGGAGCACAAUGGGCAGCACUGGUGUAUAGCGGCAACAGGUCCCGGCUCAGGCUCACAGACCGCUAAGGACACCUGUAGAGGACGGCGAGAGUCGACAGAUGCCGGAAAAGCUAAGCAGAGCAAUCCCAAUAAAAAUGCCAGGAAGAGCAGGACAGACGGGAAGACCAAGGAUCGGAUGAGAGGACGGAGCACUUCCAGGGAUAGAGACGGCAGAAGACAUUACAGGAGUUCAGUGUGCUUUAGGUCUCCUCCUGGCACCAGCAAGCAGCCUUCCCCACCGGCUCAGAGCAGAGGAGCCCAAAACCAGGAGCCCAGCGACAGCAACCACAAGUCACCCGAGCACUACAAGGCCAGGUGGCCAGAUAAGGAAGGGGACAAGGACAAGAAGGCGACCAAGCCCCCCGCCAAGGACGCUUCCUCUGGGAAGGAGAACCGCUCUCCAGGCCUGCGAGGGAGGCCGCCAGGCCCCGCCCUCCAGCUGCAGCACAGCACGUCCCCAUCACAAUGUCAGAACUCCCUGGACUCAUCCUCAGGCCCCCAGGCAGCUGAGCGAAGGGCCAUGUCACCGUCACCACCCAGAGGGGGUCACCCACGCUCCCCGGAGAGUCGAAGGAGAGUGAUUGACCGACUGAGACUUCCAUCUGGCAGGAUGUGGAGCCAGGAAGAGGCAGGGGUCCGUAGGGACACUAGCCCGGCCAUGGAUGCCCGGCGACGGUUCAGCCGCUCACCUUUCAGGCGGAGAUCGCGCUCUCCCAGGAGAUGCAGCAGGUCACCAUUCAGGAGGAGGUCGUUGGAUCGGUUGGGACGGAGGCUGCGGUGGCGUUCCAGAUCCCAGGAGAGGAGAUGGAGCCGGGACAGAGAGGACAAGUUCAAAGGCAGCCUCUCGGAGGGAAUGAGGGUCGACAAGGAGGACUCUGAAGAUGAAGUGCUGGAAGAUUACGAUGUGGACGAGGAGGACGAGGAGGCUCUCAUUGAACAGAGGAGGCUACAGCGCCUGGCCAUCGUCCAGAAGUACAAGGGAGGGAACGAGGGUAGUAGUAACAUGUCGGCACCAUCGGAGCCCGGCAGCCCCCAGAGCAGCCCACGCAGCCGCUCGCCGUCGCCGGACGACAUCUUGGAGCGCGUGGCGGCCGAUGUCAAAGAGUAUGAGCGGGAAAACGUGGACACCUUCGAGGAAAACAUCAAGGCAAAGCACAACCUCAUCGAACAGGAAAAAGACGAAGGAACCAACCAGAAAAAAACAUCCGCCCCUGAUAUGUUCACUGAAUCGGAUGACAUGUUCGCCGCCUACGAUAGUGCAAGGCUUCGAGCAGCAGGCAUUGGGAAGGACUUCAAGGAGAACCCCAACCUCCGAGACAACUGGACAGACGCAGAGGGAUACUACCGACUAAAUAUCGGGGAGAUACUGGACAAGCGGUACAGCGUGUACGGCUACACGGGCCAGGGGGUGUUCAGCAACGUCAUCCGCGCCCGAGACGUGGCUCGCGCCAGCCAUGAGGUGGCCAUCAAGAUCAUUCGGAACAACGAGCUCAUGCAGAAGACUGGGCUGAAGGAGCUGGAGUUCCUUAAGAAGCUCAACAAUGCUGACCUGGACGACAAGUUCCACUGUCUGCGGCUCUUCCGACACUUCUACCACAAGCAGCACCUCUGUCUGGUCUUCGAGCCUCUCAGUAUGAACCUGCGCGAGGUACUGAAGAAGUAUGGCAAAGACGUGGGCCUCCACAUCAAGGCGGUGCGCUCUUACAGCCAGCAGCUCUUUCUGGCCCUGAAGCUGCUGAAACGCUGCCACAUCCUGCACGCCGAUAUCAAACCUGACAACAUCCUGGUCAACGAGUCGAAAACCAUCCUCAAGCUCUGUGACUUUGGUUCAGCGUCGCACGUGGCAGAGAAUGACAUCACGCCCUACUUGGUCAGCCGGUUCUACAGGGCGCCGGAGAUUAUCAUCGGGAAGCCUUACGACUAUGGGAUCGACAUGUGGUCCGUUGGCUGCACUCUGUAUGAGCUGUACACGGGCAAGAUACUUUUCCCAGGGAAAACCAACAACCACAUGAUUAAGCUCGCCAUGGACAUCAAGGGCAAGAUGCCCAACAAGAUGAUCAGGAAAGGCGACCAGCACUUUGACCAGAACCUCAACUUCCUGUACACAGAAGUAGACAAAGUCACUGAAAGGGAGAAGGUGACAGUGAUGAGCACCAUCAACCCCACCAAGGAGCUGCUGGCUGACAUGGUGGGCUGCCAGCGUCUCCCUGAAGACCAGCGCAAGAAGGUUGCCCAGCUCAAGGACCUGCUGGACCUGACCCUUAUGCUGGACCCGGCCAAGAGGAUCAGCAUCAACCAGGCCCUGCAGCACCCCUACAUCCAGGAGAAGAUCUUCUGAGCAUCUCUUACUGUGCCACUCACAGUCAUGCAUUGAUUGAUUGACACAUCCAGAAGCUAGUACUGAGUCCCUAGUUUGACUAUGGUUGGACCCCACCCCAGCCCAAGAAAUGGCUUUAUUUGAGCUGGCAGACUCUGCUGAUGGAGAGGAAGUAGUAUUAUCUUUCUUCCCCUGUUUGAACAACACACACAUGCUCUCCCGUUGUACAUUGAUCUAAGGACUUGUAUUAUAUAACCAUAGUAGGGGUGUGACCAUUUAUAUGUUUAAUCGAAAUUGAAUCCUUAACGUUAAGGAAAAAAUGAAACUGCGUUUUUUUUUCUCUACAAAAUGUAAAUCCCAGUGCAGUUAUCACAAAACUACCACUAACAGGUCCUGCUCAUCAUAAAGGGAAUAGGCCUACCUAACACAACAAUGCUGUAACGUUAGUAAGAGGGGAUGUGCAUCCGCACGUCAUCGUCGUUAACAGUUUGAAAAGAAGUGCUUAUUACAGUCGUUAUGCAUCUGUUUUCAAUGGACUAUUUGAGUUGUGAGGUCAUUUGUUAAAUGAAGAACUGCAAACGCCAUUUGAGCCUCGACUCACGCUACUGAAACGGGUAUUGAAAACCCAGAGUGCUCCCCCACCCACCCUGGUGUCUGUGCAGGCCCUGGUCCGCAUGCCCGUUCUGCCGCUGCCUGUAGGUCUGUCAGUGCUGAAAACCCAAACGGUUGGGGUUCCUUGGGUCCUACUUGAGCCCACCUGCAGGGAUGGCCCCUCAUGUUUAAAGCAGAUUGUAUACCACUUUCAGUACAUUGAAGGUAAGCUAUCCCCCCUCUUCCAAACAACAAAACCCAUCAACUUCACCUGGUUAUUACCUCGUAUGUUUAUUUAUUUUUAAAAUAUAUUUUAAUAUUGUACACAUUGUUUUAGCCAGAUGCCCCCAUAGACAUGGUUCACAUGUUGUUUAAAAAUAUGUCAAAGACAAACUGGAUAAAAGUCAACUUAAUCAAGUCACUUCUGUAGAUGUGGUCCUUCUGUAGCUCAGUUGGUAGAGCAU